rnacentral:tRNA from 1 species
GUCCCGUAACUCAGUUGGUAGAGUGCCUUCCUUACAAGCAGGAUGUCACAGGUAUCUCCUGGCGGAGACG